UUUAUUGUGAAUUCCACAUUGAAAAUGUGUCAUAACCUUGGUUAAGGUUCAGUCAGGAUCUCUGAAGGUCUAUACCUUUGCUCUGAAGCCUCAUCAGAAUAGAAGAUUUUCCCUUAGGGGAGAGAAAAGCAUCCUAGAACACUGGAGAUCAUCCUCUGACUAUGACAUCCCCAGUGUAGGAACACUGUGUGUGCCGUCAUGGAUUAUACACAUUAGAAAGAAUCCAGUUUAACGAGGUCAGGCUUAGGGCUCUCAAUCCAUUAACUCGGGAUUCUUUUUUUUUUUUUUUAAUUUGGGGUGUGGGAGUCAGGGAGAGGUGUAAUUUGUAGACAUUUGGCCUGGAAAUCAUGAGUUUCUUCUUUCUAAUUCUGCAGAACCCACCUUAUCUGAAGGGAAGCACAUGACCCAAUGUCAGACUGCCUGGCUCAACCACAUACUGGUGAAGGCUUUGGCCACUGCUCUGGAGAUCUUACUCAGUUUUCCUGGCUUGGACUCCCCCAUAUAUACAGGAGGUUUUUUACUUUACAAAAACUAACAACUGAAAAGAAUAUCCAGAAGGAAGAAGAAAUAAAGGAGGCACUAAUGUCUACGGUUCCUGUAUUUUUCAACCCUAAUGAAUGUUCACCCUGUAGGUGUAAUAUGUUCCAUUAUUUAAAAGAAAAAGAUAAUAAAAAGCAUUUUCCUGUGCUUUUAAGCAUUUAUGAAAAUACA